GACGAACGCUGGCGGCGUGCUUAACACAUGCAAGUCGAGCGGAAAGGCCACUUCGGAGGUACUCGAGCGGCGAACGGGUGAGUAACACGUGAGUAAUCUGCCCCUGGCUUUGGGAUAGCCACCGGAAACGGUGAUUAAUACCGGAUACGACCACUUCUCGCAUGGGAUGGUGGUGGAAAGUUUUUUCGGCCAGGGAUGUGCUCGCGGCCUAUCAGCUUGAUGGUGAGGUAAUGGCUCACCAUGGCUUCGACGGGUAGCCGGCCUGAGAGGGUGACCGGUAACACUGGGACUGAGACACGGCCCAGACUCCUACGGGAGACAGCAGUGGGGAAUAUUGGACAAUGGGCGGAAGCCUGAUCCAGCAACGCCGCGUGAGGGAUGACGGCCUUCGGGUUGUAAACCUCUUUCAGCAGGGACGAAGCGCAAGUGACGGUACCUGCAGAAGAAGCACCGGCCAACUACGUGCCAGCCGCCGCCGUAA
rnacentral:rRNA from 1 species